GCGUUGGUGGUUCAGUGGUAGAAUACUCACCUGCUGCGCGGGUGACCCGGGUUCGAGUCCCGGCCGACGCA
rnacentral:tRNA from 1 species